GGAUGAUGAUGAUGAUGAUGAUGAUGAUGAUGAUGAUUGAUAUUGCGAUAAUUUGCGAAAUCCAUCAUCAUCAUCAGCCGCAUCAGCAAGCAGU
rnacentral:miRNA from 1 species